CCUGUUUCCAGAGGUGUUGCCGCUGUGGCUGCAGUGUCACAUGUGCAUCAAUAGGUGGCAGAGAGUGGCAAGGCUGUCAUAUGCUCAGUGUUUUGAGCCUGUGAUGAUCACCAAUCCCA
rnacentral:snoRNA from 1 species